ACACUUGUAGGUAUAUAAUGUACAUAAAGAGGCACACCCGGCCGUAAUAAUUAUUACUCAAUUUCCUUUAUCUGACCCUAUACACGCACCACUGUAAAACUACGUUUUUAAUUAUUAUAAUAUUAUUACGAAAUUCGUACAUAUUAUACGGGUGCAAUGACGAACGACUUUGAUUGUGUACAAUUAUAAGUCAACUACGUACUUACUAUACUUACCUUAGGCUGUAACAUAAUAAUAUUACCAGCAUCCGAAGUGUGUGCCACAAAACUUGAAUUUUCAAUUUGGAACGAAUUGAGUGAGUACAAUUUUUUUUAUUAUCUAAAAGUAAGUAAGUAGAGGUGCUUCGAACAGUUUACACACGUAUUUUUCAUGCUCGUAAUCAUAAAAACUGUCCGAAAUAACGAGUGCGUUAAUUAACAAAAAAAUAAAAAUAAAAAAACACCCCAACAGACAAUGCUGUUCGUGGACGAACCGGUUUGACCUGAGGGUUGGAUGGAAACGUGUACAAUGUACCUAUACCUAUUAUUAUACAUUAUAUAUUUAUAUGCGUCCUCUGCUCUGAUAGUUAUAUUUUACCCUCAAUACUAAGUCUAGUUUCGCACACUCAUGUCGGAGUCCGACGCGGUCAUUCUGACGAUGUUCAUCUGACAGAAGAAUUCGUGUAUAUCCUGUAAAUAAAUAAAUAAAUAUGAUAGUUAGUUAAUAAUAAUAUCAUAUGUUUAAUAACAAAGCGCUUAAACGUGUGGCGGGAUUGAAGAGCAGACCUUAAAUAUUUUACCAUUGGGCUUGUAAUUGAAAGCAUGUUAUAUCAAUUUGGACAAAAUAACAGUCUGAGUUUCUUGUAGCACUAUAAUAAUCAAGUGUAUAUGUGGAUGUGCCUUGUAAAAUUGGGAAUUGUAUGUCCUGUGGAAACUUUCAGCUGCAUACCAUACAUACGUAAGUGCUAGUGAAAAUCUGACAACGUUGUACACAAUAUUUUUUUUUUAUCGUUUUUUAAGUUUUUAAGCACAUACAUUUACGUAAAAUUAGUUUUUCGACAUCAUAUCUAUAAUAUUAUAAACCUAUGAUUACUCGCUAAGUACUAUAGCUGCAGAAUUGAAAAUAUUUGACAGAGUUUUUCUUGAUAUUUCAGAUCAAAACAAAUAUAAAUAUAAAAUAUAUAACAUUAAAAUAUAUGCAAUUUUUUUUUCAACCAAGUAAAUCUCUAGACAUACACUCACUCUGCGCAAGGGCAUUUUCGAAACGUGUUGCGAUUGGCGGAAUAUUAACGUUGGGGAGAUUGAAGUAUUUUCGAAUUAUUUGUUCCCUUUUCCACCCUUGUCUUUUAAUUUCAGACGAUAGAAUGUAACUGGGCGUAAGAGAAAAAAGUUUAAUGAACACACAAAAAGGGGAAAAAGAAUAAAUAAAAAAGAACCCCCCGCGAGUUUCCGGGUCUGCAUUAUCAUUAUUAUUGAAAGCUGGCAAAAAGUUUACACUUUUCCCCCUUCUUUUUCUUUUUUAAUAAUCUUAUAAAACCCUCGAAGGGUGAUUUUAUGCUACAUAAUUAUUAUUUAUCGAAGGAGAUGUUGGUUGGAUUUCCUUCUCUCUUUUUUCUCUUUUAUCCACGCUCGUGUGAGACCCUUUAUUUUUUG